UUUAAUUAAUAAGAAUUGGCUGUAACCAUGUAUUUGGGUAAGAUCUAGAAUAUUCAUUAACCUGGGAGGUAAUAUGUCUGAUACUUUUGAGACUGGUAGAAGUAUUUUAUGUGAUGAAUAAAAUUUUCAGUAAUCCUCAUCAUAUUUGACUUGGGUGUCUAGGUGGAGGCCUACAGCUGGGUUACUGCAAGGGAACUGUGUUGUUGGCUUCUGGGCAACCAGUGAGGUAAUAUAGAAGCUGUUUUGUGCUGACUUGGUAAAUCUAAGUAUUGGAAUGUCCACCAGCUUGGGUAUUGUCUGCCCCAUUCUUUGCAGUUCACCCUAAUUGAGUGACCUCGGUUGGCUCCCCUGGGACUCCUGGACUACUGUCAUCACUCACAUGGUGGCAGAAUCCUGCAUUGGUGUUGGAGGGGGUUCCCUUCACAGCUCCAUCCCUGUCCAUGACUCUCGUCUCCAGUGCCACAGACCUGGUGUGGGGAGCCCACCUGGGCUAUCUCAGCUUGCAAGGUUGUUGGUCGAGUCACGAUCGCUCCCUAUACAUCAAUGUCAGGGAGCUCAGAGCAGUUCGACCUGGCCUGUCAAGCCUUCCUACCUCACAUAAAAAGCAGGGUAGUCCAGGUCCUGACAGACAAUACUGCAGCUAUGUUCCGUAUCGACAGGCAAGGUGGGACCAGGUCAUCUGCCCUUUGCCAGGAAGCUCUCCAGCUCUGGAACUUCUGUGUACAACACGACAUCCAUCUCAUAGCUGCACACCUCCUUGGGGCCAGGAGUGCCUUGGCAGAUGGCCUCAACAGGAUCUUCUUGUCUCACCACGAAUGAUCCCUCUAUCAGGAGGUGACCAGCUUCAUCUUCCAGAAGUAGGGAACUCCCUGGGUGGACUUGUUUGCAUCCAGACAGAAAAAGAAUGCCAUGUUUCCUGCUUGAUUCGGGGGAUCGACAGAGGGUCCCUGUCAGAUGCUUUUCUGCUCCUGUUGUCGGGGGCUUUUUUAUACGCCUUCGCUCCGGUGCCGCUGAUUCUCAGAGUCCUCAUGAAAAUCAAGCAGGACAAGGUGAUGGUAAUAGUCAUAUCACUGGCCUGGCUGCGCCAGCACUGGUUCGGCAUGCUGCUGGACUUCUCGGUGCUUGCUGUGUUACGGCUGCCGCUCAGCCCAGACCUGCUGUCCCAAAACCAUGGUAGUCUUCUGCAUCUGAACCUGGCGGUGCUGCACCUGAUGGUGUGGCUGCUGCAUGGUUAAAUACAGAGGAGCAGUGUUUGAUCACUGUCCAGCAGGUCCAUCAAGGCAGCAGAAAGCCCUCCACCAGAGUGACGUACCUGGCCAAAUGGAAGCGGUUCACUUAUUGGACCUCGGAUGAAAGUAUUCAGCCGACCCAGACCUCGCUCCAUUUGAUCCUGGACUAUCUUCUGCAUCUCAAGCUCCAAGACCUGUCUCUUUCAUCUGUCAAGGUCCACUUGGCCGCUAUUUCGGCCUUCCGUCUGCCACUCGAGGGUAAGUCAGUUUUCCGCCCAGGACAUGACUGCCAGGUUCCUCAAUGGCCUCAAGUGCCUUUGCCUGAACAUCAGGGACCCCGUUCCACAAUGGGACCUGAACCUUGUGCUGUCACGGCUCAUGGGACACCCUCACCCCCCCUCCCCAAGCCUCUGCUUCCUGCUCUCUCCUUCUCCUGACCUGGAAGGUUGCAUUCUUAGUUCCAAUAAUGUCCGCCUGCUGGGUCUCCGAGAUUAGGUCACUUACCUCGGAACUGCCCUACACCGUCUUCUACAAAGACAAGGUCCAGCUGCAGCCACACCCAGCUUUCCUGCCCAAGGUGGUCUCGCAGUUUCAUAUGAGCCAGGACAUUUACUUAUCUUUCUUUUUUCCAAAGCUGCAUAAGUUGGAGGAGGAGCAUAGAUGCCUUCCUAGAUGUCAGGCGGGCGCUAGCCUUCUUCAUUGAAAGGACCAAGCCAUUCCGCAAGUUGACGCAAUUGUUCAUCACAGUGGCCAACAGGAUGAAAAGUCGUCCAGUGUCCACUAAAGAAUUUCUUCUUGGAUCACUCCCUGCAUUCGUAGCUGCUACAACCAGGCACUGGUGCCACCUCUGGCAAUUGUCACCACCCACUCAACCAGGGUGCAAGCCUUGUCAGCAGCUUUUCUAGCCCAAGUGCUUAUCCAGGACGUCUGUAGGGCAGCCACCUGGUCAUCCGUCCACAGGUUCAUGUCCCAUCAUGCACUUAACCAGCAGGCCCGGGAUGAUGCUGACUUCAGUAGAACAGUACUUCAAGCUGCUAACCUCAGAGGAUACUGCUUGUGAGUCACCUAGAAUGAAAUUGAUAUGAGCAAGCACUCAAAGAAGAAAAAUGGUUACCUUUUUGUAAGUGUUCUUCGAGAUUUGUUGCUCAUGUCCAUUCCAUUACCCGCGCUCCUACCCCUCUGUCGGAGGUUGCCAGCAAGAAGGAACUGAGAGGGUGUAGAGUCGGCAGCACCUAAUAUACCACUCGAGGGCGCUAUAGCUGACCCUACAGAUACCACUAAGGCAAAAAUCUCCGAUGACUGUGCACAUGGUCGCACACACACCUAGAAUGGAAUGGACAUGAGCAACACAUCUCGAAGAACAACAGUGACAAAAAGGUAGGUAACCGUUUUUCUUUUACUUUGAUGAUUUUCCCCUUGGUGUAACAGAAUGUGGCUACAGGUUUCUUCAAGUUUCACUUUGCUGCCUACAGAGUUCUAAUCCCUGGAAAGUAAGGGAAGACAGUAGUGGAAGAGAGUGAGGAAGGAGAAGAACAGAAAUGGAGAAGUUAACAGGUUAAAGACCAUAAAGAAGGGGAGUAGGAGUAAAAUAAAACAGCAUUUCAGGUUGCAUUACCCUUACUAUCUGACUGGGAAUAGCGGGGUUCUAGAGGCCUCACAUUCAACCCUUGAAGAUCACCAAGUGCUUCAUGCUAGGCUACAGCACCCACUCUGACUAACUACUGCUGAUGGCUUUAAAGAGAGUCCCAUUAGUCCACUGCUGAGAAGAAUGGUAACUGCAAGAUAGAAGGUGCCAGUAUUAAGAGGGAUAGCCAUGUUAGUCUGUAUCCACAAAAAUAACAAGGAGUCCAGUGGCACCUUAAAGACUAACAUUUAUUUGGGCAUAAGCUUUCCUGGUUUAAAAAAAAACACUUCUUCGGAAGUGGGGUUUUAUACCCACGAAAACGUAUGCCCAAUCUGGUAGUCUUUAAGGUGCUUGUUGUUUUUUUGACUCCUCAUUGUUUUUGCCAGGUAGAGAUUUUAUAUUUAUCCACAAAGAAGCAAAGCAAAUUGUGAGAGGGGAUGAUAGCGAGAGGAAUCAUCCCUUCUCUACCCUGGAUUAUAUUUUUACUUAGCUACCUGUGGAAAUGGCUUUUUCACAGAGUCCCAUCAAAGCUGUUCUGUUGUAACUGUCAUGGGGAAUCAUUUCCCUGGUGACUGUAGAAAAGUUAUCUGGGCUCUAAUCUAGUGCUCAUGUCUGUGAAGGAAAAUGGGUGUGGCAUGUGCUGCCUGUUUGGAGAGUCCCCAAUCUGUAAUGCUCGCCUCAGCUAGAAUAGUUCUUAUACUCACUUACUGGGGGAAAUAUUCAUAAAGUGUAAGGCAUAGAUAUAAUUAGAUGCUUGUCCUCAUCAAUAACAUGCAGGCAGACUGGCUCCAGCAGGCAUUUGUAUCAGUGACUGUGAGAACACAGUUCAGCUCUGCACUGGGAAUUCCUACUGCACUUACCAUCUGUACUGAGGUUUAUCUGUUUACUAAACUUCUAUCUUUGGUCCAGAAAGAAACUGACUCUUCCCUGAUAAACCAUCUCCACAGAAAGCAGCCCAGAUGGCACCCAGGGAAACCCUACUUUUGAGUUUCUGAGAGGCCAUCAUUUAUGAAAUGAACGAGAGAAGCCUUCCCAUAAAGAUCAUUGAUAAA